GUGGGGAAUAUUGCACAAUGGGCGCAAGCCUGAUGCAGCAACGCCGCGUGAGGGAUGACGGCCUUCGGGUUGUAAACCUCUUUUAGUAGGGAAGAAGCGUAAGUGACGGUACCUGCAGAAAAAGCACCGGCUAACUACGUGCCAGCAGCCGCGGUAAUACGUAGGGUGCAAGCGUUGUCCGGAAUUAUUGGGCGUAAAGAGCUCGUAGGCGGCUUGUCGCGUCUGCUGUGAAAACCCGAGGCUCAACCUCGGGCUUGCAGUGGGUACGGGCAGGCUAGAGUGCGGUAGGGGAGAUUGGAAUUCCUGGUGUAGCGGUGGAAUGCGCAGAUAUCAGGAGGAACACCGAUGGCGAAGGCAGAUCUCUGGGCCGUAACUGACGCUGAGGAGCGAAAGCAUGGGGAGCGAACAGGAUUAGAAACCCCAGUAGUCC
rnacentral:rRNA from 1 species